rnacentral:rRNA from 1 species
GAUGGAGAGGUAACGGCUCACCAUGGCUACGAUGUUUAGGGGAACUGAGAGGUUGACCCCCCACACUGGAACUGAGACACGGUCCAGACUCCUACGGGAGGCAGCAGUGAGGAAUAUUGGACAAUGGAUGGAAAUCUGAUCCAGCCAUGCCGCGUGCAGGAAGAAGGUCCUAUGGAUUGUAAACUGCUUUAGUGCGGGAGCAAUAAGGUCCACGAGUGGACCGAUGAGAGUACCGCAAGAAUAAGCAUCGGCUAACUCCGUGCCAGCAGCCGCGGUAAUACGGGGGAUGCAAGCGUUAUCCGGAUUUAUUGGGUUUAAAGGGUGCGUAGGCGGUCUGUCAAGUCGGCGGUGAAAACAGCAUGCUAAACAUGGUGCUUGCCGUCGAGACUGGUGGGCUUGAAUGUGGAUGAUGCCGGCGGAAUGUGUAAAGUAGCGGUGAAAUGCAUAGAUAUUACACAGAAGGUCGAUUGCGAAAGCAGCUGGCAAAGGCACUAUUGACGCUGAGGCACAAAAGCGCGGGGAUCGAACAGGAUUAGAUACCCUGGUAGUCUGCACAGUAAACGAUGAUAACUAACUGUCGGCGAUACACAGUCGGUGGUAAAGAGA